AGUUUGAUCAUGGCUCAGAACGAACGCUGGCGGCAUGCCUAACACAUGCAAGUCGAACGAGACCUUCGGGUCUAGUGGCGCACGGGUGCGUAACGCGUGGGAAUCUGCCCUGGGGUGCGGAAUAACUCGGAGAAAUCCGUGCUAAUACCGCAUAAUGUCUUCGGACCAAAGAUUUAUCGCCCUGGGAUGAGCCCGCGUAGGAUUAGCUAGUUGGUGGGGUAAAGGCCUACCAAGGCGACGAUCCUUAGCUGGUCUGAGAGGAUGAUCAGCCACACUGGGACUGAGACACGGCCCAGACUCCUACGGGAGGCAGCAGUGGGAAUAUUGGACAAUGGCGAAAGCCUGAUCCAGCAAUGCCGCGUGAGUGAUGAAGGCCCUAGGGUUGUAAAGCUCUUUUACCCGGGAUGAUAAUGACAGUACCGGGAGAAUAAGCUCCGGCUAACUCCGUG
rnacentral:rRNA from 1 species